AACCGCUAGGAUCGUUUACUUUGAGGAAAUUAGAGUGUUCAAAGCAGGCGUAACUCGCCUCCGAAUACGUUAGCAUGGGAUAAUGGAAUACGACUUCGGUCUUGUUUCGUUGGUUUCGCUUGGCUGAAGUAAUGAUUGAUAGGGACAGUUGGGGGCAUUAGUAUUUAGUUGUCAGAGGUGAAAUUCUAGGAUUUACUAAAGACUGACCAAUGCGAAAGCAUUUGCCAAGGAUGUUUUCAUUAAUCAAGAACGAAAGUAGGGGGAUCGAAGACGAUCAGAUACCGUCGUAGUCUCUACCGUAAACUAUGCCGACCAGGGAUCCGGAGAGUUUGCAUGGAUGACUCCCCGGGCACCUUGUGAGAAAUCAUAAGUGUUUGGGUUUUGGGGGGAGUAUGGUCGCAAGGCUGAAACUUAAAGGAAUUGACGGAAGGGCACCACCAGGAGUGGAACCUGCGGCUUAAUUUGACUCAACACGGGGAAACUUACGAGGUCAGGACACUGUGAGGAUUGACAGAUUG
rnacentral:rRNA from 1 species